rnacentral:rRNA from 1 species
UACGUAGGGGGCAAGCGUUGUCCGGAAUCAUUGGGCGUAAAGCGCGUGUAGGCGGCCCGUUAAGUCCGCUGUGAAAGUCGGGGGCUCAACCCUCGAAUGCCGGUGGAUACUGUCGGGCUAGAGUGCGGAAGAGGCGAGUGGAAUUCCUGGUGUAGCGGUGAAAUGCGCAGAUAUCAGGAGGAACACCAAUUGCGAAGGCAGCUCGCUGGGACGUGACUGACGCUGAGACGCGAAAGCGUGGGGAGCAAACAGG